UACAGAGGGUGCGAGCGUUAAUCGGAAUUACUGGGCGUAAAGCGCACGUAGUCGGCUUUGCAAGCCGGUUGUGAAAUCCCCGGGCUCAACCUGGGAACUGCAUUUGUGACUGCAUAGCUAGAGUACGGUAGAGGGGGAUGGAAUUCCGCGUGUAGCAGUGAAAUGCGUAGAUAUGCGGAGGAACACCGAUGGCGAAGGCAAUCCCCUGGACCUGUACUGACGCUCAUGCACGAAAGCGUGGGGAGCAAACAGG
rnacentral:rRNA from 1 species